CGUCGCUUUUGUGUUGAACUUCGUUUUCCACCAGUGAAUUUUGUCGGCUUGUGUGUCUUCGUGGAAAUUCUUUGAGAAUAGGAGUUUGAUGAUGACCAAUCGUUUCCAUAUCUAUCGUGCGACGAAUGAUCCAAAUGAAUAGAAGCGGACUCCGAAAUUUUCAAGUGUCCUCAAAAAAUGGAAAUUUACCUUUGAACGUUUACCGUAAAAGGUAAACUGUAAAAGAAGUCUACUCAACUUAAAGGUCUUCUGACUUUUAACUUUGAUGUCGCCCGAGUGAAGUGAUGAGGGGAGUUUUUUUAAAAAACAAAAGGUCAACACCAAAAGCAAAAGGAAUUAUUUUUCUCCUAACUGUGUACUCGUAGGCAGAGGAGGUUAAACAAAUCACGAGAUGGUUCAUGAGCGAUGUAAUGAGGACUCGAGUAGGGCGUUGUUCUGUAUUUGAAGACUUCGACGAAUUUGAGAGUGGCGAUGACGAUUGCGGCAACGGUGAAGGACACGAUGACGAUUUUGAAUUUUAUUAGGAGCAGAGCUAUCCAACCCUUGAGACCGCCCAAAACUGUGGACGAAGGAGAGAACAGAGAGAGAAAGAGAAGUCUAUUAUUUCACUAUGCAUUCGAAUCGCUUUAGGAUUCACACCCGGCCCCGCAUAUAGGACAAGAGUGUAAAGUGGUAUAAUAUAGAAAACGAAGAUGAUGAUUAGAAGAAGAACUUACGCAAAAGAUGAUAUUUGUGUUUGCGAGAUUGCAGUUCAUUUCCGUUCGAUUCAUUGUCAUCGAUGUCAUUGUUAUUGGUGAGUUUUGACGUUUGAAUGGGGUCCGCAGCCA